rnacentral:sRNA from 1 species
AAAACGUACUGGAAAGACACAUUGUUCC